rnacentral:rRNA from 1 species
GAUGAACGCUAGCGGGAGGCCUAACACAUGCAAGCCGAGCGGUAUUGUUUCUUCGGAAAUGAGAGAGCGGCGUACGGGUGCGAAACACGUGUGCAACCUGCCUUUAUCUGGGGGAUAGCCUUUCGAAAGGAAGAUUAAUACUCCAUAACAUAUUGAACGGCAUCGUUUAAUAUUGAAAGCUCCGGCGGAUAGAGAUGGGCACGCGCAAGAUUAGCUAGUUGGUGAGGUAACGGCUCACCAAGGCGAUGAUCUUUAGGGGGCCUUAGAGGGUGAUCCCCCACACUGGUAAUGAGACACGGACCAGACUCCUACGGGAGGCAGCAGUGAGGAAUAUUGGUCAAUGGGUGCAAGCCUGAACCAGCCAUCCCGCGUGAAGGACGACUGCCCUAUGGGUUGUAAACUUCUUUUGUAUAGGGAUAAACCUACCCUCGUGAGGGUAGCUGAAGGUACUAUACGAAUAAGCACCGGCUAACUCCGUGCCAGCCGCCGCCGUAACAC